GGGGGAUCUCUCAUACCCCAGCACAGCGCUGAGCAGACACUAGGAGACCCUGAUCCAAGUCUGGAGCUGGAUGGAAAAUAAGUCACUGUCAUUGUUCACUCCCUCUUGUUCUAGAUGAAGAAUCUGAGGCCCAGAGAACACCAAGGGCUUGCACAAGGGAGAGCUGGGCAGGGCCGGAGUGGAGAAAACUAAGGCCCAAUGGGGAAAAUGACUGUCCCAAGAGAACAAAGUUCAAGGCCCUGCUGCUACUUUAGAAGCAGACCUGCAAGUACAAUGACUCCCCCACAGAAUACAUCCUUCUGAAAAGCAUUUGAAGUCAAGCUCUGUUGUCUCUGCAUGUUUGCCUCUCUCCUGCUGCUUCUGAGCUUUUCCACAUGGAUGUGAUGAGCUGAAUAAUGGCCCCCAAAGAUGUCCAUGUCCUAAUCCCCAACGUGUGAGUGUUACCUUACAAAGCAAAAGUGAUUCUGCAUAUGUGACCAAGUUAAGGAUGAAAUGAGAUGAUAAAAUCAUCUAUGGGUUACUCAGGUGGGCCCAAUGUAAUCACCAGGGUCCUUACAAAAGGAGGGAGGAAGGUCAGAGUAGAAGAGGAGAUGCGAUGAUAGUAGCAGAGGUGAGGGCUGCAUGCAGUGGCCAUGCCUGCAAUCCCAGUACUUUGGGAGGCCAAGGUGGGUGGAUCACCUGAGGUCAAGAGUUCAAGACCAGCCUGGCUAAUAUGGCAAAGCUCCGUCUCUACUAAAAAUACAGAAAAUUAGCCGGGUGUGGUGGUGGGCACCUGUAAUCACAGCUACACAGGAGGCUGAGGCUGGAGCAUUGCUUGAACCCAGGAAGUGGAGGUGGCAGUGAGCCAAGAUUGUGCAACUGCACUCCAGCCUGGGCAACAAGAGCUAAAUCCCAUCUCAAAAAACAAAAGAAGCAGAGAUGAGAAAGAGAAAGGGAGAGAGAGUUUUGAAGAUGGAGUAGAGACAGAAGCUAUGAGCAGAAGAUUGUAGGGAGCCUAGAAGCUGAAAAAAGUCAAGAAAAUAGAUUCUCCCCUAGAGUUUCCAGAAAGAAGACAACCCUGCCAACAGCUUAAUUUUAGGAUUUCUACCUCCAGAACUAUAAAAUAGUAUAUGCAUGUUGUUUUAAUCCACCGAAUUUGUGGUAACUCAAUGCUGAAGCAAUAGUUAACUAAUCUAAGGGCCUUACAGCUCCAGGUUUACAUCUUCUCGUUUACUAAUCUCAUUGUCCAUGGGGGUGGAGGAACUUCCUUUCUCUCAAAGUCCCCACAGGAUUCCCAGAGAAACAGUCUUUUUGGCCACAGACAGUUCAAGGAACCGUCUCUUGUGAUGUGGAUCACUGGUGCCAAAAUGGAAGGAAGAAAGCCAGCCUAGCCCAGGUGUCAUGGCUGCAGUGGUGGUUUGGGUGGAGACACCGCAAUUGGUGGGCCCCUCAGAAUCACUUGGAAUGAGGAGGAGAAGGCCUGCUGGACAAAUGAAAACAGCCCAUAUGUCUCGCAGCGGCAAUAUUCCAAGAACAAUGUAAGGAGCUGAAACCCAGGGCUACAUUAGGAGGUGCUAAAGGCAGGAGAGAGGUGUGCAAACCAGGGGAGAAGUUGGCAGAAUCUCCUGAAGGUUCUGGGUCCUUCAGGACCAUGUGGGAAUUUCUACUGUGACAUUGCAGGGUCGUCAGUGUGCAUACCGCUAGAGAAGACUCAAUGGGGUGUGUGUGUGUGCAUGUGUGGGUGGGUGUGUAUAGGAGGUAGCAGAGUGCAGUGGUGAA